CAUGCAUAUCUAAGUGCAUACCUUAAAACGUUGAAACCGCGAAUGGCUCAUUAAAUCAGCUAUGGUUCCUUAGAUCGUAAAUGCUACAUGGAUAACUGUAGUAAUUCUAGAACUAAUACAUGCCUUCAAUCCCUGACCCGCAAGGGGGCGGGUGCAUUUAUUAGAGCAGAACCAAUCGGAUGAGCCUUCGACUGUGCCUGUUACAUUCUGUGAUGACUCUGGAUAACUUUACUGGGUUGGCGACGGAUCUUUCAUAUGUCUGCCCUAUCAAUUUGUUGAUAGGUGAUUUGCCUACCAUGACGAUAACGGGUAACGGGGAAUCAGGGUUUGGUUCCGGAGAGGAAGUUUGAUAAAUGGCUAACACAUCCAAUCCGUCAGAGAGCACCAG
rfam:Schistosoma mattheei strain Denwood, Zambia genome assembly, scaffold: SMTD_scaffold0000774